CCUACGGGCGGCAGCAGUGGGGGAUAUUGCACAAUGGGGGGAACCCUGAUGCAGCGACGCCGCGUGGGUGAAGAAGCGCCUCGGCGCGUAAAGCCCUGUCAGCAGGGAAGAAAAUGACGGUACCUGAAGAAGAAGCCCCGGCUAACUACGAUCCAGCAGCCGAGGUAAUACGUAGGGGGCAAGCGGUAUCCGGAUGUACUGGGUGUAAUGGGGGCGCAGACGGCGCUGCAAGCCAGGAGUGAAAGGCCGGGGCCCAACCCCGGGACUGCUCUUGGAACUGCGUGGCUUGAGUGCAGGAGUGGCAGGCGGAAUUCCUGGUGUAGCGGUGAAAUGCGUAGAGAUCAGGAGGAACACCGGUGGCGAAGGCGGCCUGCUGGACUGCAACUGACGUUGAGGCCCGAAAGCGUGGGGAGCAAACAGGAUUAGAUACCCGAGUAGUC
rnacentral:rRNA from 1 species